AUUGAACGCUGGCGGCAGGCCUAACACAUGCAAGUCGAACGGUAACAGGAAGCAGCUUGCUGCUUUGCUGACGAGUGGCGGACGGGUGAGUAAUGUCUGGGAAACUGCCCGAUGGAGGGAGAUAACUACUGGAAACGGUAGCUAAUACCGCAUAACGUCGCAAGACCAAAGAGGGGGACCUUAGGGCCUCUUGCCAUCGGAUGUGCCCAGAUGGGAUUAGCUAGUAGGUGGGGUAACGGCUCACCUAGGCGACGAUCCCUAGCUGGUCUGAGAGGAUGACCAGCCACACUGGAACUGAGACACGGUCCAGACUCCUACGGGAGGCAGCAGUGGGGAAUAUUGCACAAUGGGCGCAAGCCUGAUGCAGCCAUGCCGCGUGUAUGAAGAAGGCCUUCGGGUUGUAAAGUACUUUCAGCGGGGAGGAAGGGAGUAAAGUUAAUACCUUUGCUCAUUGACGUUACCCGCAGAAGAAGCACCGGCUAACUCCGUG
rnacentral:rRNA from 1 species